rnacentral:rRNA from 1 species
CUCUUAGAUGUUCUGGGCCGCACGCGCGCUACACUGAUGCAUUCAACGAGUCUAAAACCUGCUCUGAUAGGGGUGGGUAAUCUUUUGAAUGUGCAUCGUGAUUGGGAUAGAUGAUUGCAAUUUUUCAUCUUCAACGAGGAAUGCCUAGUAAACGCAAGUCAUCAGCUUGCAUUGAUUACGUCCCUGCCCUUUGUACACACCGCCCGUCGCUCCUACCGAUUGAAUGAUCCGAUGAAUAUCAUGGAUUGAGGAUGCAAGCAGGUUCGCCUGUCUUCAUCUUCGAGAAGUGAAGUAAAUCUUAUCAUUUAGAGGAAGGAGAAGUCGUAACA